rnacentral:rRNA from 1 species
AGACACGGUCCAGACUCCUACGGGAGGCAGCAGUAGGGAAUCUUCCGCAAUGGGCGAAAGCCUGACGGAGCAACGCCGCGUGAGUGAUGAAGGUCUUCGGAUCGUAAAACUCUGUUAUUAGGGAAGAACAUAUGUGUAAGUAACUGUGCACAUCUUGACGGUACCUAAUCAGAAAGCCACGGCUAACUACGUGCCAGCAGCCGCGGUAAUACGUAGGUGGCAAGCGUUAUCCGGAAUUAUUGGGCGUAAAGCGCGCGUAGGCGGUUUUUUAAGUCUGAUGUGAAAGCCCACGGCUCAACCGUGGAGGGUCAUUGGAAACUGGAAAACUUGAGUGCAGAAGAGGAAAGUGGAAUUCCAUGUGUAGCGGUGAAAUGCGCAGAGAUAUGGAGGAACACCAGUGGCGAAGGCGACUUUCUGGUCUGUAACUGACGCUGAUGUGCGAAAGCGUGGGGAUCAAACAGGAUUAGAUACCCUGGUAGUCCACGCCGUAAACGAUGAGUGCUAAGUGUUAGGGGGUUUCCGCCCCUUAGUGCUGCAGCUAACGCAUUAAGCACUCCGCCUGGGGAGUACGACCGCAAGGUUGA